rnacentral:misc_RNA from 1 species
GGACAAUAGAGCUCGCUCAUAUACCUUGCUAUGAACUAAUCUUUUUAGCCUAAGAACAUGUGCAAUUAUAGUUAGCAUUCCCCCUAAGUAUGUACAGAAUAACGAAGAGUUUACUUGUUGUAUUGUUUACUUCCAAACUUUAAUAGCUCCAUCCCUACUGCCUGAUAAUAGGAGUCUUUGGUUCAACUUCACAGAGGCCAAAGACAAAAUGGAGUCCCGAUGGCAACCAGCUGAAUCAGUUGCAGCAGC